CAUUAGAUGUCUGAUAAAAAGAAUUAAUUUUUUAAAUUAAAAUAUAAUAAUAAAUGUUAUUUCUAAUGA
rnacentral:tRNA from 1 species